rnacentral:rRNA from 1 species
GAUGAACGCUGGCGGCGUGCCUAAUACAUGCAAGUCGAGCGAACAGAUGAGGAGCUUGCUCCUCUGACGUUAGCGGCGGACGGGUGAGUAACACGUGGAUAACCUACCUAUAAGACUGGGAUAACUUCGGGAAACCGGAGCUAAUACCGGAUAAUAUAUUGAACCGCAUGGUUCAAUAGUGAAAGACGGUUUUGCUGUCACUUAUAGAUGGAUCCGCGCCGCAUUAGCUAGUUGGUAAGGUAACGGCUUACCAAGGCAACGAUGCGUAGCCGACCUGAGAGAGUGAUCGGCCACACUGGAACUGAGACACGGUCCAGACUCCUACGGGAGGCAGCAGUAGGGAAUCUGCCGCAAUGGGCGAAAGCCUGACGGAGCAACGCCGCGUGAGUGAUGAAGGUCUUCGGAUCGUAAAACUCUGUUAUUAGGGAAGAACAAAUGUGUAAGUAACUAUGCACGUCUUGACGGUACCUAAUCAGAAAGCAACGGCUAACUACGUG